rnacentral:rRNA from 1 species
UACGUAGGUGGCAAGCGUUAUCCGGAUUUACUGGGUGUGAAGGGCGUGUAGGCGGGAAAGCAAGUCAGAUGUGAAAACCAUGGGCUCAACCUGUGGCCUGCAUUUGAAACUGUUUUUCUUGAGUACUGGAGAGGCAGACGGAAUUCCUAGUGUAGCGGUGAAAUGCGUAGAUAUUAGGAGGAACACCAGUGGCGAAGGCGGCUUACUGGACGGCAACUGACGCUGAGGCUCGAAAGCGUGGGGAGCAAACAGG